rnacentral:rRNA from 1 species
CUGANGGAGCACGCCGCGUGAACGAUGAAGGCUUUCGGGUCGUAAAGUUCUGUUGUUAGGGAAGAACAAGUACCGGAGUAACUGCCGGUACCUUGACGGUACCUAACCAGAAAGCCACGGCUA